GGCGGACGGGUGAGUAACGCGUGGGUAACCUGCCCUGUACAGGGGGACAACAGUUAGAAAUGACUGCUAAUACCGCAUAAGCGCACAGGACCGCAUGGGUCCCGGGUGUGAAAAAACUCCCGGUGGGUACAGGAUGGAACCCGCGUCUGAUUAGGUAGUUGGCCGGGGGUAACGGCCCCACCAAGCCGACGAUCAGUAGCCGACCUGAGAGGGUGACCGGCCACAUUGGGACUGAGACACGGCCCAA
rnacentral:rRNA from 1 species